ACCUCCCGCUUCCCGGUUAGCGUGCGCGGGGCCGGCCACCCAGCCCUCCCUCCCAGCGGCGCGCACCCGCGGAGGUAGGUGUCGGCACUAAUUAAUCGCGGCGCGUGAUAGACGAUGUGCGGUGUGAUAUGAGCGCGGAACGAGCAUCAUCGCCAGGUGAAGCCGGCGACGCGAGAGCCGAGCGCUGGUGGCCAGGUCACGGGGUCGGCGCCCUUGGAGUUCUCCCGGGUUGGCGAGGUGGUGGGCCAGGGUGUCCCAGUUAUCCGUGGCUGGGCCCGCGGGCCGCGGUGGCUGGGGGUGUUCUGGAACAGAUGGAAACGUAGUUUAUUGAUCACGAAUUUGUUUGAGAAUUGUUUAAAAACUUUCAAGUGUUUCCCCCACCCCACCCCAGCACUGUCCCAUUUAAGGAUACUGCAGACCCAGCGCAGUGGGUUAAGGGCAGUGACACCGAGUCAGUCCUCAACGGCUCGGCGGUGGCUCGCUUUUCCUGGGACCUUGGUUGAGUCGUUUGAAGUCAAGCGGGUGUCUGCUUGGGUACAGUUCAUUCAUUCAUUCAAUAAAAGUUUGGUCCCAGCAGCCCACCUGGUGCCCAGGUACACCUCCGAACCCCACGCCCAUCCCCCUUCUACAAGGCCUCACUUCGUGAACCUGAGAGAUGGCAGCGCAAUUCAAAGUCAGCAGAGAACACUCGGAAUUAAGAACAGGAAGCGAAAUCUUCACUCCAGACUCUCAUGGUCUAUCUAUAUCUGCUACCUCUCCUGACAGCGGGGCCCAGACAUUCUCGGACUUUGCAGAAAAGUUGCUGUGUCUGCCCUUCCACCCCAUUCCCAAAUCAGCCAGGUUCUGAUCACGCUCUGGAUAUGUCCUCUCUUUCCACACAAAAAUACACCUUCUGUCGACAGAAACCUCAAAGGAACUGUCAUCCACCAAAACAAAAACGGAUAAAAAUAUUCACCCUAUAGACCAGAAUGUUCUCAUAAAUAAAUUCCACAGUAAGGCUGUCUGAAACUAUGACUUAGUCAUUCACCAGCUAGAUUAGAGACUACCUAAAGAUUGAGUUUUUUAUCUUUACCUAUUAAAUAAAAACCUCUUGCUUGAAUUUGAUUAAUUGAUCGACUGUCAUUUUUAAAAAUUGGUGAAGGCUUAUAAGGAGGAGGAACAGGCCAGAUUUUUGUUAAGCUCCAUUUGUUCCAAAGCAUCUUCCUUUCCUGCUUCUAAUGUGGCUGAAGAGCAAAUACAUUGUAUUUAAGAGGAACAAGGUAAAUAGUAACCAAUACAACCUUGAUACUUAUGCCAGGAGCUACACAUUACUACAAAGAAUAUAAUGAAGAGUCUCCUUAUUUGGAAAUCCCUGAGUUGGGUUACCAUCUCCCCCCUUUUAGAUAAAUAUGCCGCCUGAACUUUGAAAGGAGUGAAGCUGUCCCAUGUCAUAUGCUGACACAUAUUCCAGGCAAGUACAAUCAGGACUAUUGUCCUAGAAUGUAUAAAGCAAGGUCAGGCUUCAGCCAUUUCAACUUCUAACCUGGCAGGCCAUUCUUGGGAAAAAAAAUUUUUUUUUCUUUUUUUUUAGUGUAGCUUUCACCUAUAUUUUAUUAUGACCAACCACUGAUGAACAAAUAAAGCAUUUACUUUGUAAAUAUAUGACAGCAGGUGGAAUCAAUGGUUUACAGGUAAGCAAAGGCCACUAAGAGCUCUGAAACACAAGCUCGUUUGUGGUCUGUUCGGCUUUCUGUUUUCACCCGACACAAAGUGAAAGAUGAGAUUUUACUUAAUUGGCAUGGUGAGCUGAUACUGUCUACAGUUUUCACUCUAGCAGUUGACCUACCCAGGGCCUUAAAAGUUUUAAUUUAAAAAAAUUUAAAAAAAGCUUUCAGGUUCAGAGGCCACCAUGCAUGACCUUUUCAUAUGAAUUAGUGAUUUAUUUUAAUAGGUUGUUACCAUUUUAAGUGCCUGGUUUAUGCUUUGAGAGUGGAGCAAUCCAUUAGCAUAAUUCUUGGAACAGUCCAGACUGGAGAGUUUUCCAGUGGAAGGGGCCUCUUGUUUGGCUCAGGGAGAGAUGGAAGUCGUGGAAAUUUCAAGCUCUGAAGAGGGGCAAAGGGCCAGAAUGUCCCGGGUGUAAAGUGCCUGGUUCAGGUGACCUGCUCCCUGCCAAAGCCAGCAAGUGGGGAUAAUAACACACCCGUAACCUAAACACUAGGUCACCCCCAGCUAUGACUUUGUGAAACAGGGGGGGGUCCCAUGCUAUACACACCGAUCCACAGCUCCCUCCAGCAAAGCAUACUUUACAACAAUGGAUGGAUUGGCAAGGGGUUUCUUUUUCUUUUUUAGUGGUCUUGUAAGCUUCAUAUUUAUGGGUGGAUGUGUUCCUUGGCUUUUUUGCAUCUUCCUGUCUGAGAAAGAAUGCCUCGUCUGCUUUUAGAAGCAAUAUACUCGCUAUAGCUCAGAAUCUUGAAAACGUUUUUACACUUAAUGGUGUAAUUAAGUUUUUGGACAAGCCAUGUGUUCUUCUUGGACUUUCAUUAGAUGGGUCACUGUGAGGUUCCAGAGAAAAUAAAAUUAUGAUAUUAUUUUAAUAGCCUAGGAAACAAAUAGGUUUCUACCAAAACAGAAACCUUUUAGCUGUAAGUUUUUAAUAAUAAUGUUUAGUACUUCAAUGGGGCUUUCUGUCUUUAAAGCACAUUUUGCACUUUAACUAGAAUGACUAGUUAGAAAUUAGAACUAAUUAGAAAUUUGCAACGACUAGAAAUUGUUGUUGCAAAUGAAUGUGACUUGAAACCUGUACUAUACACAUGAUGAAGCAGGUAUUGUAAAAAGCCUUCCUAGUUAAUCCCUGAUGAGAAGGUUCUAUUACUUAAUCCCAUAAAGUUCUUAAAAAUCUAAUGUACUGCUUAUCUAGGGCAUUUUUUUCCUUGUCACACUCACCAGUUAACAGUGACAACCACAAGGUAACCCUAAACUUGCAUUCAAAGCUAAACAUGGUGUUCAAGUUAGCGAAACUUCCUUUCAAAAGCUGACAUCAAGGAACUAACUACAGGGCCACACGAAAUUCCCCAAUUUGAUUCCUAUUAAUUCUAAAAUAAUUUAUUUUUAACUUAGAAUACACUCUAAUCAAAACAAAAUAUGGAGGCACGUUGGCCAAUGUGUUUGGACCCAAUUUUUUGAGCCAGUGGCUUUGGGAUACAGAUCAAACAUCUUAAAAGUCCGGUUCACAAAAUGAGGGAAAUUGGGUCUUUAGUCUCUUGAUGGAUCUUCCCUGACUCUGAUGGAUGGACACCAUCAAAGAGAGGAAUGUCCUGGUCUCUAUGAUGCCCAGUUCCCAAGACCCUUAGAGCCUUUCUCAUGACAUUCCCAGGAGUGGACUUUUAACAAAGUCACCAAACACUUUGAAAGAGGAACACAAUAGAGUAGAGUCUACACUGUUCCUUUUAAAAACUGAAACCUUAACAAUGAUACACAUGAUAGCCCUGCAAAGAUUCAAGGUAGAUAAUUUGGAUGAGGGGCUUACUGACAUCAACCACAGAUCAACGGACCCUCUUACUGGAGGUCCUAAUUGAGGGGUGAGGUAUGUAAAACUGUUACCACUCUAUAGCAGAAGAGUUAAUUUUCCUAAACCAAACUAACUUUUGUUAGGUAAUGGGAAAGCCUGUUGCUUCAAACUUUUAAUUUGGCGUUUAGGAUAGAAAUUCAUCCAGGAUGAAAAAUAAUGCAGGGAGGACUAGUUAACAAUAGGUACAGGGUCAGCUCACUUGUGUCUUUGUUCACAAGAUGUCUUAGUUAAAUGACAUUUUGAUUCAACAUCUUAUUAAACAAGUACCAACAGGAAAAAACAAAAAGCAAGUUGGUGCAAUCAAGAGAGCCCUAAAGUCCUAAUAAGAUAUCUUUCUAAAAAGAAAUCCUUUAAUUGUUCUGAUUUUAAAGAUUUUGGGAUUUUUUUUUUCCCAUUGCAUUCAAUUCUUCAAAUUUAGCCCCAUAUAAUUAAGUGUUUAGAGUGUUAAAUACUCUGGAUGAAUCAGGUAAUAAAUUUCCUUUCAUUAAGUGCUGUUUUGUGUAUAAAGGAAAUAACUGCUAAAUACAACUUUUACCAUCUUGGUGUUUUUACUGUAUUUACCUACCAACCAAGUGUAGAUGACUGUUUUCAAACAGGCUUGCAAUUAGUUACUAGCCUCAGUUUGGGACAAGUAAGUUUCUGAUGGGGCUGUGGAUGUUACUUGCCUUCGAAGCCCCCCACCACCAAACCCACUUCCAUCUGUUGUUGGUAAACCCAGAAUUAAGCAAUUAAUGGGACAUAAUUAGUCACACAUUUAUCUGUGGAUACAUUUUCAUCUUUCUGUGUUUGCCCACACAUGUUGAAAAUGAAAUAGAAAAAUGUGUAAUUAUAGUUUAGCUCCGCCUCCUUCCCUGGUUUUAUUUUGAGGGGCACAAAUGCUUGGUUCCCAGAGAAGCCCCAGCUUUGCUCCUCCCCCAUCCAUCUCCGUUUAGCCUCUGUUUGGUCACAACUCAGUAUUUGCCCAGAGAGUGCCCUCGCCUCUGCCAGCGGUCCAUGGAGGACUGGGUGGUGUGCACAGCCCUCUGCCUGAUGAGCCAGGAGCUACUCAACUCAGCAAAGCCCAGAUGCUACAGUGACUCCUCGGGUCUUUGCCGACCUCUGCAAGUUAUGAGGAAGAGAGAACUAGCCAGCGAAACAACGGGCAUUUGCAAUCAGUCUGGGAUCAGAUGGAAAGGAGAUGUUUUCACGAGCUACAGACCUCAGCUGUGCCCACAGCCACGUCCCAGGGUCUCUGCCUGCCGCCCAGAACUGGGAAGGCGGCCUCUGCCCGCUUUCUCGAACAUUCCUGUUUCUUGGUCGCUGAAGUCUCUACUACCUUCUCAGAUUACGGCUCCUUUUGUGCUAAUUACACCGAAAAAAUUGAAAGAAUGUCGCUGACUUUACAAAGAACACAAAGCAGGCUUGCUUAAAAAACUAAAUAUAGCCAAUUUCUUUCAGAAGGGGGACCACUCCGCCUUCAGGAUGAUUUGCACUGUUUGGAUUAACUGCAGACGGACAAUUCAUUUAUGAAGACCCAGGUGACAGAAAAGAGGAUACAUUUAAAAUGUGGGUCGCUCUGGGGGGCCGUUCACAUGAAAUCCCAAGAUCUGAUUAAUGAUGAACUGCCCCCCACCCCACCCCACACACACACCCAGCGCUUAAUUGUAAAAUAAGACUUGCCAGUGAUAGCAGGCUAAUAUAAGCUACCAUGAAAAGAGGAAAGAAAUGGAAUGCCACUGUGUAGAAAGCUAUGUACCACGCAGGUAAAAAUAUAAAUGAGAGGAAAAGAAAGUCUUAACUUCUCAUCCCGGAAGGCUGCUCCUGCCACAAAGCAAGAGGAUGCUGUUUUUGCAACUCCCUGUUCUCUAUUAUAUAAGGAAUGGUAUUUUAAAAGACAGAACUGGGAAGCGCAUGUUGCUGGCCAAGAAGAUUAUGGAUGGCAUCCCCAUGCUCCUUCUAUGAAAUCCUCUAAGGGUUAAUAGGUGAACAGUAGCCACUUGGAAUGAUUUAUUUUUCCAAGGAACAUUAAAUACUGAAUUGCUCAUGCUGAAAUAAUGCCACAGCUGUGACCCUUAGGGCUGCAUUUUGGACACUGGUUCAAGUGACAGGUGUACUCGAUGUAUGCCCAGCUUGGCUGAAAUUGUGAGGCCUAACUCAAGUUUUCCCCCUUGACUCGUUGGUGACAACUCUGGAGCCAGCCAGGAAAGGGCCUUUUGCACAUGGAAGGCCACGUGUGCUCAGCCGUCAACAAAAACGCCAGCCUUGGGUUGGGGAGGCGGUGGAUGGGGGCCCCUGCUCCCUGAAUAGAAAACAAGAAAAUCAAGACAGAAGACAGUGGGGAGAGGAAGUGGGAGCUGAGAAGUCUGAUUUGAAAUCCUUCUAGGUUUUAAAGCAAACAGAUCUGUCCUUGGAGGAUUUUAGCAAAUGAAGCCAGCCUGGGAUUCUAGGAAAUGUGUCACCAAAAUUGGUAUUACUAGAGGAAGUGGCACAAAGCUGGAAAUUCGGAGUCUAAUCUGUAACAUACUAACUACACCUAUUUUUAUCCCAGGGUUGCAGUGACCUAACACCAAGAAAUGAAAACUAGCCCUUCAUCGAUAGAAGACAUGAACACCUUGAGAGUGGGGUGGCAGGGCAAAGGUUUCACUAGGUCCCUUCAUCUGACCAGGAGUUAGACAUCAGCAGUCACUCAUGAAGGCAGCUAAUUUUUGAGGAAAGCCAAUGAAGGCUCCAGACCAAACCUUGGGAGCUCUGGUGUGAAGUGAGCAACUCUGCAUUGUCAAAAGUCUGGCCUGAGCAAAAUGCCUAUAGGGUGUCCUAGUGGUUUGGAGAGGGCAAGAAGAAGGCUGGGUAAGUCAAGAAGGAGCCCAGAUGAAGCUUUCUUUCGUCUAUGCCACCAGCCACAAAGGCAUGGGGUCCCUAUCUUUUGGCCAGGUGGCUGAUGGACAGAGAACCACCUCCAGAAGUUGACAAAUGUCCCACUUUGGGGCCUGGUUCCAAUAAGGAUGCUUCUCAUGAAGAUGAUGGUUGAAGCUGCUGCUCCCUUAUUCUGAAAAGGUGAACCUCUACCUUCUGAGUACAGGAUGAUUUCAUAAUUGGAUUCCCUGGGAGCUGCUUCAAAAAGCUCGUGAAAGAAUCUUUCAGAGGAAGCUGAUAUAAAACUUAGUUGGGAUGCAGAGACAUCUAAUCUUCAAGCUAAAUGGAUACUGUUUACUCAUAACCAUUCAAAGCAUCCUAAAGUCUAGAAAGACCCAACUCAAGUUCAGUUCAGUCGCUCAGUGGUGUGCGACCCCAUGGACUGCAGCACACCAGGCCUCCCAGUCCAUCACCAACUCUCUGAGUUGACUCAAGACCGGGCACAAAGACCUAACUAGUUAGCUGCAAAUUCCUAUCAUGGUGUUAUUAUUAACCCAGGCCUCAGGGGGGCGCUCCAGAGCAGGGGAACUGAAAGUCUUUCUCAGCUUUCAAAGUGAAUUUCUUAAAUAGUUUUGAGUAAAAAUCAGUAAUCAGCUUAAAUACGUUUCACUGAUCUGCCACAAGUUAGUUGAAUGCAACAGGGGAAAAAAAAAAACCCAAAUUGUGAACUAACUAGGGUGAUCCCCAAGGAUACUUAAUGUUUUCAUCUCAGAUAUAAGAUAACUUUAUAUUUCAUUUGCCUUGCACAUUCUUAAAUGUGCUAAAUAGAUGUGUAUUCCUCACCUUGGCAUAACUAUAUAUCCUCUAGAUUUACUGAGGGUACAGAAGGCAGAGAAGGGAACUUUGUAAAAAAGAAGAAGAAGAAAGCUAAAGAAUAAAACUCUACAACAAAAAUUUAAUUUCUAAAAUGGAUGCCAAAGUAGAAGAGAUAGUGAGAGAAAACUAUAUGCGUUUUCAGUAAAACUACAAACACACUAAAAAAGGUACUAGCAACAUGAAAACCCCAGGGAAACAAACAAAAUCACUCUAAUUUAUAGGUGAACCCUUGCUGUACCUUCCUCCCAACACCUGAGUUCUGUGAAACCACCCAGUUGUCACUUUUUUCCUCUUAGCAAUGUGACAUUGAUUUGUCAUUAUUAGAAUUCAGAGGUCUGCUUAAUGAACUCUUAAUAAAUGAAAGUUAUCAAUUCUUGACCUUUUCCCCCUGUAAUUCUCGGUAUGUGGUUAAACUGUUGAAAAAGUAUCUUCAAGGUUCUGUGACUAUAAAAUAAAAAUAACAGAUCAAGGCUGGGUGGCUUGGGAAGUCUGAGCAGAUUUGGGUUCUGCCCUGUCUGCACCCCAGAGGGAAAAUGA